rnacentral:lncRNA from 1 species
AAGAAAUAAAAACAGAAUAGACUUAAAUAAGAAGACACAGAUCCCCAAACGUUUCUUAGAGUCAACCCCCCUCCCCAUUUGUUCUCUUCCAUUAUUAAGGUGGAAAGAAAGACAGUAAACAAAAGGACGGUGAACCGGAAGUUAGUGUUAAUUGCCAUUUAUCAAGAUUACAAACAUUUAUCAGACAGAAUCCUUUGCCCAGUAACCAAAUCUAUCAAGCAUGCUACAAUUCUUCAGAUAACAUUCUAAAUACAAUCUGAGUGUGUAUUACAUGCACGGUAUUACAAUCGGCCAAUUUGUUUAAUGUAUGUCGAGCCAGCAUAUAUUACUGUCCAGCCUCACGGGUUUAUUUAAAAAAAAAUUAACUACACACCUGGAAAGUGUUUUACUGGAUAAAAUGACAACCUACAAGUCUUAAGCACAAAUAUUAUCUUGCAGUUUUAAGAUCGUUUAGGACCAUUUUCAUUUGUACCAAAAUAAAUAACUUACUAACGUUUCCUCCUUAGUACUGUUUCUGAGCGUUUUCCCAGGGUCGUCAACACGUUUAAAAGCAAUUCCCUUGACAUUUGGAAUUAUUCGUGUCCUGAGUGAUUUUCCAUGUCCACUGGUUAAUUUUAAACCUGGAUUUUUUUUAUACCUCAGAAACACUAGGAUACUUCCAAAAAUAAAUAAUACGGAAGCAGGGACUUACAAUAAGCACACUUCGGGUCAGAUGUAAUAAACGUUGAAGGAUUACAAUUUUGGUUUAACCAGCAUGACGUAGAAAGUGUUUCAAGUCGGUUGCCUAAUGAGGUGACUAUUCUUUCCUGCUCUUCUGACAGACAGAAGACAGUCACCCAGUGUCACCUGCAAAUUUGUGUGCUCAGACUGCAAAAUGAUUUCCAUGCUCCUUAACCAACCUGGUGGCUGUUUGGAGUGAGGAUCAAAUCCUACCGCCAUGGGAGCACUGAGUAGCAAUAAGCCAGAAAUCAUUCGCUCUUGAUUAAUAUGCUAGUGUCUAGGCAACUUCGAUUACCUACACAUUCCCCUCUUGGCAAGUUCUCAGUUGGACACCAUCCAACUUUCAAAACUACGCAAAAGAAGACAUGGAGACCUCUGCUUGGCUAGGGGUGUACACCGGGUCUGCCUGUCCUCAGAGGCUGUCUUUCACGGAGAGGGUUCGAUAGGCGCUUUUGCUUGCGAGGGUUUAUUUUUCUUGUCAAGAAUUGGUGCAUCUGUAACCUGUUUUACUUAACUGAAAUUUACCAUGGGGUGUUCUUCUCAUUUGGAAUGUAAGUUUUGCAUAAGCUUCUGUAAGUGGCUGUCUCCAAUGCUACUUACUUUAUCUGUGUUAUACAGCCUAGAUUGCCUCAGGUUUGUGUAACAGUUGCGUGAACUGAUAUUUGAUUUUUUUUAAAUUUCUAAUGAAUAUGAUGUUAUGGAACUGAAGAACAUGUUUAAUUACUGAAUUUUUCUUUUUUCUGUAUUGGAUUAUGUCACUCCAAUGAAAAUAAAAGCACUUUGAUG